rnacentral:rRNA from 1 species
UACGGGGGGGGCAAGCGUUGUUCGGAAUUACUGGCCGUAAAGGGCUCGUAGGUGGCCAACUAAGUCAGACGUGAAAUCCCUCGGCUUAACCGGGGAACUGCGUCUGAUACUGGAUGGCUAGAGAUUGGGAGAGGGAUGCGGAAUUCCAGGUGUAGCGGUGAAAUGCGUAGAUAUCUGGAGGAACACCGGUGGCGAAGGCGGCAUCCUGGACCAACACUGACGCUGAGGAGCGAAAGCCAGGGGAGCAAACGGG